rnacentral:rRNA from 1 species
UAACGAAUCCUCCGCAAUGCACGCAAGUGUGACGGAGCGACGCCGCGUGGAGGUUAAGUCCUUCGGGAUGUAAACUCCUGUCAGGGGUUACCAAGUUCUGAGGAGCCCCAGAGGAAGGCACGGCUCACUCUGUGCCAGCAGCCGCGGUAAUACAGAGGUGCCAAGCGUUAGGCGGAAUCACUGGGCUUAAAGCGCGUGUAGGUGGAUGGGUAAGUACCUUGUGAAAUCCCACGGCUCAACCGUGGAACUGCUGGGUAUACUGCUUGUCUUGAGGCACUCAGGGGCAGCUGGAACAAAUGGUGGAGCGGUGAAAUGCGUAGAUAUCAUUUGGAACGCCAAAGGCGAAAGCAGGCUGCUGGGAGUGAUCUGACACUGAGACGCGAAAGCCAGGGGAGCAAA